ensembl:lncRNA
CCAUAAAUGAACCCCUCCCCCACCGCCCCCCCCCCCCACCGUGACGCCGUUUUGCAGCCACCGCAGCGGCCAAAGGCGCAGCCACGGAGGUGAGGACGGGGCGGCCCCAUAGAUCCGCCCCAUAGCUCUGCCCCAUAGAUGCCCCAUAGCUGCCCUAUAGCGCCCCAUAGCGCCCCAUUACCCCAUAGACCCCAUUCAUCCUCCAUCCAUUCCUAUUGCCCUCCAUCUCUGCCCCAUAGAGCCCCAUAGCGCCCCAUAGCUCUGCCCCAUAGAUGCCCCAUAGCCGCCCCAUAGCGCCCCAUAAGCCCAUAGCCCCCAUUCAUCCUCCAUCCAUUCCCAUUGCCCUCCAUCUCUGCCCCAUAGAGCUCCAUAUCUGCCCCAUAGAGCCCCAUAGCGCCCCAUAGCUCUGCCCCAUAGAUGCCCCAUAGCCGCCCUAUAGCGCCCCAUAGCGCCCCAUUACCCCAUAGACCCCAUUCAUCCUCCAUCCAUUCCCAUUGCCCUCCAUCUCUGCCCCAUAGAGCUCCAUAUCUGCCCCAUAGAGCCCCAUAGCGCCCCAUAGCUCUGCCCCAUAGAUGCCCCAUAGCUGCCCUAUAGCGCCCCAUUACCCCAUAGACCCCAUUCAUCCUCCAUCCAUUCCCAUUGCCCUCCAUCUCUGCCCCAUAGAGCUCCAUAUCUGCCCCAUAGAGCCCCAUAGCGCCCCAUAGCUCUGCCCCAUAGAUGCCCCGUAGCCGCCCCAUAGCGCCCCAUAGCGCCCCAUAACCCCAAAGACCCCAUUCAUCCUCCAUCCAUUCCCACUGCCCUCCAUCUCUGCACCCCAUAAUGCCAUCUCUGCCCCAUAGAGCCCCAUAGCUCUGCCCCAUAGAUGCCCUAUAGCCGCCCUAUAGCGCCCCAUAGCGCCCCAUAAGCCCAUAGCCCCCAUUCAUCCUCCAUCCAUUCCCAUUGCCCUCCAUCUCUGCCCCAUAGAGCCCUAUAGAGCCUCAUAGGGCCCCAUAGCUCUGCCCCAUAGAUGCACCAUAGCUGCCCUAUAGCGCCCCAUAGCGCCCCAUAACCCCAAAGACCCCAUUCAUCCUCCAUCCAUUCCCACUGUCCUCCAUCUCUGCACCCCAUAACACCAUCUCUGCCCCAUAGAGCCCCAUAGAGCCCCAUUGCUCUGCCCCAUAGAUGCCCUAUAGUCACCCUAUAGCGCCCCAUAGCGCCCCAUAGCCCCCAUUCAUCCUCCAUCCAUUCCCAUUGCCGCACAUUUCUGCCCCAUAGCUGCCCCAUAGCGCCCCAUAGCGCCAUAUCUGCCCCAUAGCACCUCACAGCUCUGCCCCAUAGCUUUGCCCCAUAGCCCGAUCUAUGGGGCUGGAGCCAAUCUAUGGGGCUGGAACCCGAUAUGGGGCCGAUCUAUGGGGCUGGAGGCAACCUAUGGGGCAGGAGCCAAUCUAUGGGGCCAGGACCCGCUAUGGGGCCGAUCUAUGGGGCUGAAAAUGUCUAUGGGGCUGAUCUAUGUGGCUGGAGCCAAUCUAUGGGGCUGGGACAGUCUAUGAGACCAAUCUAUGGGGCCAGGACCCACUAUGGGGCCAAUCUAUGGGGCUGGGACCCACUAUGGGGCCAAUCUAUGGGGCUGGGACCCACUGUGGGGCCAAUCUAUGGGGCUGGGACCUGCUAUGGGGCCGAUCUAUGGGGCUGGGGCCGAUGUGUGGGGCCGGAAUGCCCCAUAGGUGUCCCCUUCCAUCCCCCCCCCAUUUCCGCCCCACGGAUUCUUUGCUGCUAUUUGGGGCUCCUCCACCUGCGCUGCCCCACAGCUGUUGUGGGGCGGGGGGGCGGGGGGGGGGGGGGGAACUUCCGCCCACCCCAUGGGGCCCCACAGCGCCGCCCCAUAGAUGGGAACCGGGGGGGGGGGGGGGGGGGGGGGGCACUGGGAGGGGCUGCCCCAUAGAUCUGCCCCAUAGAUCAGCACGAGAGAUGGCACAGGUAUGGCUCUGCCCCAUAGGUGGCACUGGGGGGGGCUCUGCCCCAUAGAUGGCACAGGUAUGGCUCUGCCCCAUAGAUCUGCCCCAUAGAUGGCACUGGGGGGGGGGUCUGCCCUAUAGAUCUGCCCCAUAGAUCCAUCCCAUGGAUGGCACAGGUAUGGCUUUGCCCCAUAGAUCGGCCCCAUAGAUCUGCCCCAUAGAUGGCACUGGGGGGGGCUCUGCCCUAUAGAUCGGCCCCAUAGAUCUGCCCCAUAGAUCCGUCCCAUGGAUGGCACAGGUAUGGCUCUGCCCCAUAGAUCUGUCCCAUAGAUGAGUGCAAUAGAUGGUAACUGGGAUGGCUCUGCCCCAUAGAUCUGCCCCAUAGGUUACACUGAGAGAGCUCUGCCCCAUAGGUGGCACUGGGGGGGUUCUGCCCCAUAGAUGGUACAGGUAUGGCUCUGCCCCAUAGAUCUGCCCCAUAGGUGGCACUGGGGGGGCUCUGCCCCACAGAUGGCACAGGUAUGGCUCUGCCCCAUAGAUGGAUGGCACUGGGGGGAGGCUCUGCCCCAUAGAUCUGUCCCAUAGGUGGCAGUGGGGGGGCUCUGCCCCAUAGAUCUGCCCCAUAGAUGGCACUGGGGGGGCUCUGCCCCAUAGAUGGGAACCCGGGGGGGGGGGGAGGGGGGCAGUGGGGGGGGUCUGCCCCACAGAUCUGCCCCAUAGAUCGGUGCAAGAGAUGGUAAUUGGGAUGGCUCUGCCCCAUAGAUCUGCCCCAUGGGUGGCACUGGGGGGGCUCUGCCCCAUAGGUGGCACUGAGGGGACUCUGUCCCAUAGAUUCGCCCCAUAGAUUUCACUGGGGGGGCUCUGCCCCAUAGAUCCACCCUAUAGAUGGCACAGGUAUGGCUCUGCCCCAUAGAUCUGCCCCAUAGAUCCGCUUCAUAGAUGGUAACUGAGGGGGCUCUGCCCCAUAGACGGCACUGGGGGGGCUCUGCCCCAUAGCUCCACCCCAUAGGUGGCACAGGUAUGGCUCUGCCCCAUAGAUCUGCCCCAUAGAUUUCACUGGGGGGGCUCUGCCCCAUAGAUCUGCCCCAUAGAUGACACUGGGGGGGCUCUGCCCCAUAGAUCCGCCCUACAGAUGGCACAGGUGUGGCUCUGCCCCAUAGAUCUGCCCCAUAGAUGGCACUGGGGGGGCUCUGCCCCAUAGAUGGCACAGGUAUGGCUCUGCCCCAUAGAUCUGCCCCAUAGAUUUCACUGGGGGGGCUCUGCCCCAUAGAUCUGCCCCAUAGAUGGCACUGAGGGGGCUCUGCCCCAUAGAUCUGCCCCACAGAUGGCCCUGGGAGGCUCUGCUGCACAACUCAGCCCCACAACCCCAUAAGCAGCCCCAUAACCACCCCACAACCCCAUAACCCCACCCUAUAGCCCCAUAACCCCACUCCAUCACCCCAUAACCACCCCAUAACCCCACCCUAUAGCCCCAUAACCCCAUUCCAUCAACCCAUCACCACCCCAUCACCGCCCCUAUAGCCACCCCAUAACCCCAUAACCCCAUAACCCCACCCUAUAGCCCCAUAACUCCACUCCAUCACCCCAUAACCACGCCAUAACCACCCCAUAACCCCACCCAUAACCCCAUAAUCCCACCCUAUAGCCCCAUAACCCCGCUCCAUCACCCCAUAACCACCCCAUAACCCCAUCACCACCCCAUAACCACCCUAUAACCCCCCAUAGCCACCCCAUAACCCCAUCAGAACCCCAUAUCCACCCCAUCGCCACCACAUAUCCACCCCAUAACCCCAUAACCCCCCCAUAGCCACCCCAUAGCACCCCAUAACCACUCCAUAACCACCCCAUCACCACCCCAUAGCACCCCAUAACCCUACCCUAUAGCCCCAUAACCCCCCCCACAACCCACCCCCAUAACCCCCCCACCCCAUAACCCCGCCC